rnacentral:rRNA from 1 species
UACACUCCUGCGGGAGGCAGCAGUGGGGAAUAUUGCACAAUGGGCGCAAGCCUGAUGCAGCGACGCCGCGUGGGGGAUGAAGGCCUUCGGGUUGUAAACUCCUUUCGCUAGGGACGAAGCUUUUUUGUGACGGUACCUAGAUAAGAAGCACCGGCUAACUACGUGCCAGCAGCCGCGGUAAUACGUAGGGUGCGAGCGUUGUCCGGAAUUACUGGGCGUAAAGGGCUCGUAGGUGGUUUGUCGCGUCGUCUGUGAAAUUCUGGGGCUUAACUCCGGGCGUGCAGGCGAUACGGGCAUAACUUGAGUGCUGUAGGGGUAACUGGAAUUCCUGGUGUAGCGGUGAAAUGCGCAGAUAUCAGGAGGAACACCGAUGGCGAAGGCAGGUUACUGGGCAGUUACUGACGCUGAGGAGCGAAAGCAUGGGUAGCGAACAGGAUUAGAAACCCGUGUAGUCC